ensembl:lncRNA
CUAGCGAGGUGCUACUGAGGAACACACUGUUACUAAAGGACCUAGCGAGGUGUUGCUAAGGAACACACUGUUACUAAAGGACCUAGCGAGGUGUUGCUGAGGAACACACUGUUACUAAAGGACCUAGCGAGGUGUUGCUGAGGAACACACUGUUACUGAAGGACCUAGCGAGGUGCUGCUGAGGAACACACUGUUACUAAAGGACCUAGCGAGGUGUUGCUGAGGAACACACUGUUACUAAAGGACCUAGCGAGGUGUUGCUGAGGAACACACUGUUACUAAAUCCUUUGAGAACUGUGCCUUAUGAAGGACAUGCUUGGUUUUAAAGGUUUUUAUUUAGAAUUAAGAAUGAAUUAUGUUUUGUAUUGUUUACAGAGGAGAAUGUUUUUGCAGUAGAGUUGAACAUCAGAACACUGAGCUGUUGCAAAAGCAGGAUCAGUAAGUUAAGCCAGAUAACUCUUAUUAGGGGUAAAAUAUAGUUCUUGAUUUACUGAUAUAUUUAUAAAGCUGAACUUGAAUAUGGUUGUCAAGUCAGUUACAAUACAAUGAUGCCAGGUGUACCUUGACGUUAUUGCCAUGAUGCCAGUUAUACCUUGACGUUAUUGCCAUGAUGCCAGUUAUACCUUGAUGUUAUUGCCAUGAUGCCAGUUAUACCUUGACGUUAUUGCCAUGAUGCUAGGUUAUCCUUGACGUUAUUGCCAUGGUGCUAGGUUAUCCUUGGCGUUAUUGCCAUGGUGCUAGGUUAUCCUUGGCGUUAUUGCCAUGAUGCUAGGUUAUCCUUGACGUUAUUGCCAUGAUGGUAGGUUAACCUUGACGUUAUUGCCAUGAUGCCAGGAAUACCUUGACGUUAUUGCCAUGAUGCCAGUUAUACCUUGACGUUAUUGCCAUGAUGCCAGUUAUACCUUGACGUUAUUGCCAUGAUGCUAGGUUAUCCUUGACGUUAUUGCCAUGAUGCCAGGUAUACCUUGACGUUAUUGCCAUGAUGCUAGGUUAUCCUUGACGUUAUUGCCAUGAUGCUAGGUUAUCCUUGACGUUAUUGCCAUGAUGCUAGGUUAUCCUUGACGUUAUUGCCCCAAUGCCAGGUAUACCUUAACGUUAUUGCCAUGAUGCCAGUUAUACCUUGACAUUUUUGCCAUGAUUCCAGUUAUACCUUGACGUUAUUGCCAUGAUGCCAGGUAUACCUUGACGUUAUUGCCAUGAUGCCAGUGUCAAGUCUCUGACAUUAUUUAGAGCGUUUGUUAGUCGGCUAACUGGUUGAUCCUGCGGUCUGGAACAGCCCCACGUCUCUGUUCAACCACCAGACCUCCAUGUUUUAAUAAACACUCUGAACCACCAGACAGACAUGUUUUAAUAAACACUCCGAACCACCAGACCUCCAUGUUUUAAAUCAAAUCAAAUCAAAUUGUAUUUGUCACAUACACAUGGUUAGCAGAUGUUAAUGCGAGUGUAGCGAAAUGCUUGUGCUUCUAGUUCCGACAAUGCAGUAAUAACCAACAAGUAAUCUAACUAACAAUUCCAAAACGACUGUCUUAUACACAGUGUAAGGGGAUAAAGAAUAUGUACAUAAAGAUAUAUGAAUGAGUGAUGGUACAGAGCAGCAUAGGCAAGAUACAGUAGAUGGUAUCGAGAACAGUAUAUACAUAUGAGAUGAGUAUGUAAACAAAGUGGCAUAGUUAAAGUGGCUAGUGAUACAUGUAUUACAUAAGGAUGCAGUAGAUGAUAUAGAGUACAGUAUAUACGUAUGCAUAUGAGAUGAAUAAUGUAGGGUAUGAGCUGUGAACCCACACUUUCAAUUGAUUCAUUUUAGGUAAUAAGCUUCUAGUGUUAACAUGCAGAAAACCCAGGCUUUUACGAGAGCAGAAAUCAGUGAAGCAGAUAUCAGAGCACAAGUCAGAGUUGGGGCUAGCAACAGUAGAUGGGCCAGGGUGUACAUGCACAUUUCCAGAUAUCAUCAACACUAAUACAAUCAAGGCACGGCAGAGGACAGGGAGAACUCCGCAGUGCUGAUUUAUGACAUCUGAAUGUGCA